UGAGUUCCAGGGCAUGCGGGGUGGGGGAGGCAGGUGGGGGAAGAGGGAAUUGAAGCAGAGUCACGUUGGGCCAGGCCUCGCAGAUAUGUGGGGGUCUUUGGUCUCUGAACCCCACACCUCUCCUACCCUCUACCCCGCGCCCGUGACCUUGACCCAUCAAAUUCAGAGUUUUUCUAUCAAUCUCUUCCCAGCCCUACCUUUCUUGGCCUGGACUAUCUCCUUGUCUCUUCCUCUGCCCUCAAUUCUGCACUAAAGCUGUCUGAGCCAGGUCUGAUGGUGAGGAGGGCAAAGGAAAGGGGACCCUGCCCACCUCACACGCACACUGCCGUAGAAUACACUCAGGGUCCCCUCAUACCAGGCACCGUGCUGGGCACUUUUACAUGAGAUCUCAUCUUCACACAGAUGAGGAAACUGAGGCACAGAGAGGUUGUAUGACUUGCCCAAAAUCACACAGCUAGUAAAGGGUAGAGUUGGGAUUUGAGGGCUUGGGAAUUGCAUUGCUUUUUCCAAUAGUUGUUACCCUUGGAGAGUUUACAAGAUAGGGUGGGAAUUCUAAGCAACAGGAGGAAAUAGCCACUCUCGGGUGAACAAUAGGGAAGGUCGUGAUUCUGUGAUUCUGGCCACACACACACAGGGAGGGGGUGAACUCAGAGAGAGAGGAGGAGGAGAGGUGAGUUGUGUGUGGGACACUCCAUGGGGGAAAGGAGAGGUGUUCCAAGAAGCACAGGGAGGUUGCCUCCCUGGUACACCCAUUACCUUGGGAUCGGCACCCUGUAAGGACUGGCUUUCCAAGCCUGAAAAUGAACCACAGGGUUUGGCAGCAUAUGGCUACUUCUGGGGCAGUGGGCCAGGCUUGAGCUCAGAAAUCAUUCAUUAUCUAUUAACUCCAUCGCAGGUUUGCUCACUUGUUCACCCAUCGACCCCUCUAUCCAACAUUCGACAAACAAAUUGCAUGCCUACUGUGGACCAGACUCUGUUCUAGGUGCUGGGGGUACCACGGUGAGCAAAACUGACCAAGUCCCUGCCCUUGGGGAGCUGACAUUCUAGUGCAAGAGAACACACAAUAAAAAAAAACAAGUGCAUAGACAAUAUUCAGGUGGCGGUAGGAUUCGAUAGUGAUAAAAACCAAACCAAACCCAUUGCCGUCGAGUCAAUUCCAACUCACAGAGACCCUAUAGAACAGAGCAAAACCACCCCAUAGAGUUCCAAUGAGUGUCUGAUGAAUUCGAACUGCCAAUCUUUUGGUUAGCAGCUGUAGCUCUUAACCACUACACCCACCACCAGGGUUUCCUGGAUAGUGAUGGGGAGGCUAUUUUACAUGCGAUGGAAAAGGAAGGCCUUGCUAAUGACAUUGAAGCAGAGAUAUGGACAAAAUAAGGGAGAAAGCCACGCAGAUAUCUAGGGAAAGAAUUUUCACUAGCAAGUGCAAAGGCCCUGAGGUAGGAGUGUGAUUGCUGUGUUUGGGAAUAGUGAGAAGAUCCAGGUGGCCAGAGAAGGUUGGAAAAAAAGGGUAAAGUCAGAGAGGUUCAGGGGACCCUAAUCACAGAGGGCCUUGUAGGACCCUCACAGGGUGCCCUAGGACUGAAGGAGGUGACAGAUGGAAGACAUUCUAAAGUGAGAGGUGGCUUGGAUGGGGUCCUGACCCCCCGGCAGUCAAAAGGUAAAUGAGGGCUUCACUGAUAUGCACUGAUUUUGCUGACCUGAAGACGGAUCAAGAACAAUGGGAGGUGAAGACCCUCAUGGGGAUCCUCCCAGGGCUGGAACCUAAGAACCACCAUCCCACCAGGGAACACUGAAUGGAAAGAAGAACCCCAAAGACAGAGAAUGGGACUUGGCUACGGCAACCUGAGCCCCCAGACGCUGGCUGGCCGUGUCUUCUGCAUCUUCUUCGCUCUGGUGGGGAUACCUCUCAACCUCGUGGUGCUGAACCGCCUGGGCCAUCACAUGCUACAGGGCAUGCACCACUGUGCCCUCAGGCUGGGGGGCGCCUUGCAGGUGAGGGGGUGCUGGCGAGGGAGAAGGGGGUUACUUCUAGAAUCAGCUGAUGUGGAAGGGUGGGGGUCCUUGUGGGGAGGGGUUACUGGUGUAAGCAGGGGUUACUUCUGGGAAUCGAGGUCACUGGUGAGGAUGUAGUGGGGUGGGGUCACUGCCCAGAAUGGAGGGCUUUCCCUUUAAGUUGGUGUCAGUGGUGAAGGGUGGGACUGGGCAGACCGGAGGGGCAGCAGGCGGCAAAGACAGAGCCUUGGCCUGUGCCUUAGUUUCCUAGCGCUGCUGUAACAGAAGUAAUCACAAGAGGCUGGCUUUAAAGGACAAAAAUGCAUUUUCUCAGAGUUUAGGAGGCUAGAAGCCUGAGUUCAGGGCAACUGCUCUAGAGGAAGGCUUUCCCUCUGUGGGCUCUGGGGGAAGGUCCCUGUCAGCCUCUGUAGCCCCGGCAUUCUGAGGUACCUUGGUGAUAGAUCCUCAGACAGCAUUCCCCUUCCUCCCAUUUGCCGUUUCUCCUGUGUCUACUCUGCUUUCUUUGUAACUCAGAAGUGAUUAGGCUUAGGACACACCCCCUACACUGAUAUGGCCUCAUUAACAUAACAAAGAAACCCUGUCC